GAUGAACGCUGGCGGCGUGCCUAAUACAUGCAAGUCGAGCGAACAGACGAGGAGCUUGCUCCUUUGACGUUAGCGGCGGACGGGUGAGUAACACGUGGAUAACCUACCUAUAAGACUGGGAUAACUUCGGGAAACCGGAGCUAAUACCGGAUAAUAUAUUGAACCGCAUGGUUCAAUAGUGAAAGACGGUUUUGCUGUCACUUAUAGAUGGAUCCGCGCCGCAUUAGCUAGUUGGUAAGGUAACGGCUUACCAAGGCAACGAUGCGUAGCCGACCUGAGAGGAUGAUCGGCCACACUGGAACUGAGACACGGUCCAGACUCCUACGGGAGGCAGCAGUAGGGAAUCUUCCGCAAUGGGCGAAAGCCUGACGGAGCAACGCCGCGUGAGUGAUGAAGGUCUUCGGAUCGUAAAACUCUGUUAUUAGGGAAGAACAAAUGUGUAAGUAACUAUGCACGUCUUGACGGUACCUAAUCAGAAAGCCACGGCUAACUACGUG
rnacentral:rRNA from 1 species